UGUAGACCUAGUAACUGUAAGGACUCUGCAUCUCUACUGAACAACAUGGAAAAGGGAUGUAACCUAGUAACUGUAAGGACUCUGCAUCUCUACUGAACAACAUGGAAAAGGGAUGUAGACCUAGUAACUGUAAGGACUCUACAUCUCUACUGAACAACAUGGAAAAGGGACACGUGUCACAUUUGCACAAUUCUUUCUUUAGGUACAUUUUGAUGGAAAUGUAUUUUUGUACAUAGUUUAAUAUAGACAUUUUUUUUUUAAAUGAUAAAUUAUCACGUAGUAACUUAGGUCAAAAAUACAAGUAGACAGACACGGUAGUUAGUGUAGAAUCAGAUGUACAGUACCAGUCAAAAUGUUGGACAAACCUACUCAUUCAAGGGUUUUUCUUCAUUUAAAAAAAUAUAUAUUUUCUACAUUGUAGACUAAUUGUGAAGACGUCAAACCUAUGAAAUAACACAUAUGGAAUCAUGUAGUAACCAAAAAAAGUGUUAAACAAUUCUAAAUAUAUUUGAGAUUCUUCAAAGUAGCCACCCUUUGCACACUCUUGGCAUUCUCUCAACCAGCUUCACCUGGAAUGCUUUUCCAACAGUCUUGAAGGAGUUCCCACAUAUGCUGAGCACUUGUUGGCUUCUUUUCCUUCGCUCUGCGGUCCAGCUCGUCCCAAACCAUCUCAAUUGAGUUGAGGUUGGGUGAUUGUGGUGGCCAAGUCAUCUGAGGCAGCACUCCAUCACUCUCCUUCUUGGUCAAAUAGCCCUUACACAGCCUGGAGGUGUGUUGGGUCGUUGUCCUGUUGAAAAAUAAAUUAUAGUCCCACUAAGAGCAAACCAGAUGGGAUGGCGGCGUAUUGCUGCAGAAUGCUGUGGUAGCCAUGCUAGUUUUGUGCCUUGAAUUCUAAAUAAAUCAUUGACAGUGUCUCCAGCAAAGCACCAUCACACCACCACCUCCAUGCUUCACAGUAGGAACCACACAUGCGGAGAUCAUCCGUUCACCUACUCUGCGUCUCACAAAGACACGGUGUUUGGAACCAAAGAUCUCGAAUUUGGACGCAUCAGACCAAAGGACAUUGUUUAUUGGCCCACACAAGUCUCUUCUUAUUGGUGUUCUUUAGUAGUGGUUUCUUUGCAGCAAUUCGACCAGGAAGGCCUGAUUCACACAGUCUCCUCUGAAUAGUUGAUGUUGAGAUGUGUCUGUUACUUGAACUCUCUGAAACAUUUAUUUGAGCUGCAAUUUCUGAGGCUGGUAACUCUAAUGAACAUAUCCUCUGCAGCAGAUGUAACUCUGGGUCUUCCUUUCCUGUGCUGGUCCUCAUGAGAGACAGGUAACUCUAAUGAACAUAUCCUCUGCAGCAGAGGUAACUCUGGCUCUUCCAUUCCUGUGGUGGUCCUCAUGAGAGCCAGUUUCAUCAUAGCGCUUGAUGGUUUUUGCGACUGUACUUGAAGAAACUUUCAAAGUUCUUGAAAUGUUCCGGAUUGACUGACUUUCAUGGCUUAAAAGUAAUUAUGGACUCAUUUCUCUUUGCUUAUUUGAGAUGUUCCUGCCAUAAUAUGGACUUGGUCUUUUACCAAAUAGGGCUGUCUUCUGUUUACCCCCCUACCUUGUCACAACACAACUGAUUGGCUCAAACGCAUCACGAAGGAAAGAAAUUCUACAAAUGAACUUUUAACAAGGCACACCUGUUAAUUGAAAUGCAUUCCAGGUGACUACCUCAUGAAACUGGUUGAGAGAAUGCCAAGAGGGUGUAACGCUGUCAUCAAGGCAAAGGGUGACUACUUUGAAGAAUCUUAAAUAUAAAUGUUUGGGUUACUAUAUGAUUCCAUAUGUGUUAUUUCAUAGUUUUGAUGUCUUCACUAUUAUUCAAUGUGGAAAAUAGUAAAACUAAAGAAAAACAAACUUUUGACUGGUACUGUAUAUGUUGUCAUUUUGGGGCUGACGUCAUGGAUAUUCAAUCAGAAAACCGCCUAGCAGCCAUUUUGUAUUGGACAGGACCAUCUGUGUCAACAAUUUCAACGUGUUUUUAAAAAAACUGACAAUAAUGCCAAAUCGCCGGUGUCGUGUUAAUUUACAGUGCAUUCGGAGAGUAAUCAGCCCCCUUGACUUUUUCCACAUUUUGUGAAAGUUACAGCCUUAUUCUAAAAUGGAUUAAAUAAAAUAAUGUCCUCAUCAAUCUACACACAAUACCCCAUAAUGACAUCACAAUACGCCAUAAUGACAUCACAAUACCCCAUAAUGACAUCACAAUACCCCAUAAUGACAUCACAAUACCCCAUAAUGACAAAAACAGAAAUACCUUAUUGACAUAAAUAUUCAGACCCUUUGCUAUGAGACUCAACAUUGCCCUCAGGUGCAUCCUGUUUCCAUUGAUCGUCCUUGAGAUGUUUCCACAACUUGAGGGAGGUGACCAAGAACCAGAUGGUCACUCUGACGGAGCUCCAUAGUUCCUCUGUGGAGAUGGGAGAACCUUCCAGAAGGACAACCAUCUCUGCAGCACUCCCCCAAUCAGGCCUUUAUGGUAGAGUGGCCAGACAGAAGCCACUCCUCAGUAAAAGGCACAUGACAGCCCUCUUGGAGUUUGCCAAAAGGCACCUAAAGGACUCUGCCCAUGAGAAACAAGAUGUUCUGGUCUGACGAAACCAAGCAUCACGUCUGGAGGAAACCUGGCACCUUCCCUACGGUGAAGCAUGGUGGUGGCAACUAGUUAGGAUCGAGGGAAAGAUGAACGGAGAAAAGUACAGAGAGAUCCUUGAUGAAAACCUGCUCAGGACCUCAGACUGGGGAGAAGGUUCACCUUCCAACAGGACAACGACCCUAAGCACACAGACAAGACAACGCAGGAGUGGCUUUGGGACAAGUCUCUGAAUGUCCUUGAGUGGCCCAGCCAGAGCCUGGCCUUGAACCCGAUUUAACAUCUCUGGAGAGACCUGAAAAUAGCUGUGCAGCAACACUUCCCAUUCAACCUGACAGAGCUUGAGAGGAUCUGCAGAGAAGAUAUGGGAGAAACUCCCCAAAUACAGGUGUACCAAGCUUGAAGCAUCAUACCCAAGAAGACUGGAGGCUGUAAUCACUGCCAAAUGUGCUUCAACAAAGUACUGAAUAAAGGGUCUGAAUACUUAUGCAAAUGUAAUAUUUCAAUUUUAUAUUUUUUUAUGAAUUUGAAGAAAAAAAUCUAAACCUGUUUUUUUGCUUCAUUGAAUAACAAUUUAAUACAUUUUAGAGUAAGGCUUUAACGUAACAAAAAGUGAAGCGGUCUGAUUUUUUUUCCCCCCGAAUACGCUUUGUGUUGCCUUACAUUCAUUAUUCGUGGCUUGGAUGGUCUUCUGAUCCAUUUGUUUUCAUUGUAGUGUUUUGCACUACAACCCACGAUAGCUAGUUCAGGUCCUAUGCUGAAGUGAGGCAAGGCAGGUUAAAAUGGAUACAGUAUUAAACUAGUUAGCAGCACUAAUAAUGCCCAAAUACUUUGUUUUCAGUGUUAAACAGUCAGUCUUUAUGAGGUGUCUACAUACAGUCAGUCUAUAUGAAGUGUCUACAUACAUACAGUCAGUCUAUAUGAGGUGUCUAUACAGUCAGUCUAUAUGAGGUGUCUAUAUACAGUCAGUCUAUAUGAGGUGUCUAUACAGUCAGUCUAUAUGAGGUGUCUACAUACAGUCAGUCUAUAUGAGGUGUCUAUACAGUCAGUCUAUAUGAGGUGUCUAUACAGUCAGUCUAUAUGAGGUGUCUAUACAGUCAGUCUAUAUGAGGUGUCUAUACAGUCAGUCUAUAUGAGGUGUCUAUACAGUCAGUCUAUAUGAGGUGUCUAUAUGAGGUGUCUAUACAGUCAGUCUAUAUGAGGUGUCUAUACAGUCAGUCUAUAUGAGGUGUCUAUACAGUCAGUCUAUAUGAGGUGUCUAUACAGUCAGUCUAUAUGAGGUGUCUAUACAGUCAGUCUAUAUGAGGUGUCUACAUACAGUCAGUCUAUAUGAGGUGUCUAUACAGUCAGUCUAUAUGAGGUGUCUAUACAGUCAGUCUAUAUGAGGUGUCUAUAUGAGGUGUCUAUACAGUCAGUCUAUAUGAGGUGUCUAUACAGUCAGUCUAUAUGAGGUGUCUAUACAGUCAGUCUAUAUGAGGUGUCUAUAUGAGGUGUCUAUACAGUCAGUCUAUAUGAGGUGUCUAUACAGUCAGUCUAUAUGAGGUGUCUAUACAGUCAGUCUAUAUGAGGUGUCUAUACAGUCAGUCUAUAUGAGGUGUCUAUACAGUCAGUCUAUAUGAGGUGUCUACAUACAGUUGCUUUACACUGUAUUUUUGGUACUAAUAUUGUCAUGGUAAUGUUAUUAUCAUCAUGUUUUUCACUUCCUCUUAAGUUGAAAAACCACUAAAAAAGUGAUCCGUGUCCCUCCAUAGAUAUGUUACUAUUUCUGUGUUGCAUUUUAGAGCGGACAGAAAGUGUAAAGACGACAUGUUCGUUUUGUUUAUCGGGGAAAGUUUUUGGUGGUGCAACAUUCAGUAUUGGGAUGAAUUAGGAAUUGAUUUUGAGUGACUCGAUUGGCUCGUGUAGAUCAUUUUAAUGGUGAACUACUCCUCAAAUUCAACAUGGUAGGUCUACUACAUAGAUCAAACCCCAACAAGAAACGAUUGAAAUGGUCAAAAACAAGAAAUCUCUGUGAAGUUAAAGAUAUGUGUUUUGGAAUGCUUUUGUACCCGUUAACCAGCUAUCUGGGGAGGAUUCUUGUCAUUGUGACUUUAGUAAUAGUUGUCUUUAGUAAUAGUUGUCUUUUAGUAAUGGUUGUCUUUAGUAAUAGUUGUCUUUAGUAAUAGUUGUCUUUAGUAAUAGUUGUCUUUAGUAAUAGUUGUCUUUUAGUAAUGGUUGUCUUUAGUAAUAGUUGUCUUUAGUAAUAGUUGUCUUUAGUAAUAGUUGUCUUUAGUAAUAGUUGUCUUUAGUAAUAGUUGUCUUUAGUAAUAGUUGUCUUUUAGUAAUAGUUGUCUUUAGUAAUAGUUGUCUUUAGUAAUAGUUGUCUUUUAGUAAUAGUUGUCUUUUAGUAAUAGUUGUCUUUUAUAAUAGUUGUCUUUAGUAAUAGUUGUCUUUAGUAAUAGUUGUCUUUAGUAAUAGUUGUCUUUUAGUAAUAGUUGUCUUUAGUAAUAGUUGUCUUUAGUAAUAGUUGUCUUUAGUAAUAGUUGUCUUUAGUAAUAGUUGUCUUUAGUAAUAGUUGUCUUUAGUAAUAGUUGUCUUUUAGUAAUAGUUGUCUUUAGUAAUAGUUGUCUUUAGUAAUAGUUGUCUUUUAGUAAUGGUUGUCUUUUAGUAAUAGUUGUCUUUAGUAAUAGUUGUCUUUAGUAAUAGUUGUCUUUAGUAAUAGUUGUCUUUAGUAAUAGUUGUCUUUUAGUAAUAGUUGUCUUUUAGUAAUAGUUGUCUUUAGUAAUGGUUGUCUUUUAGUAAUGGUUGUCUUUAGUAAUGGUUGUCUUUAGUAAUGGUUGUCUUUUAGUAAUGGUUGUCUUUUAGUAAUGGUUGUCUUUUAGUAAUGGUUGUCUUUUAGUAAUGGUUGUCUUUUAGUAAUGGUUGUCUUUAGUAAUGGUU